rnacentral:rRNA from 1 species
UACGUAGGGUCCGAGCGUUGUCCGGAAUUAUUGGGCGUAAAGGGCUCGUAGGCGGUCUGUUGCGUCGGGAGUGAAAACUUACAGCUUAACUGUGAGCGUGCUUUCGAUACGGGCAGACUUGAGGCAUUCAGGGGAGAACGGAAUUCCUGGUGUAGCGGUGAAAUGCGCAGAUAUCAGGAGGAACACCGGUGGCGAAGGCGGUUCUCUGGGAAUGUCCUGACGCUGAGGCGCGAAAGCUAGGGGAGCGAACAGG